CGCGUUUGUGACGUCCGGGUCCUCCCGCGCUGCGCGCCUCGCCCCCCCUCGGCGGCGGGGAGGGGCCCGGCUCGCUCUUUUUCCGGACUCUUCCAUCCUGGAGUCCCAGAAAGCCCAGAGAUUACUCAGCAGAUGCAGACCUACAGAAGUUGGCUAGAAGGGAAAUCCGGGUAUUCGAACUAAAGUCCCCUUGCGAGGCCUACUACAGCAUAUAAGGGAUGUGGCGUGGCACAGAAUGGCACAGAGCUGAUGAUCCCAACUGGGUCCGCUCUCCGCUCUCGCCCUUCCCGAGAGCACAUGACAGGGAAACUGGCCUUGGCAGCGUGGCCCCAGUCAGAUGACUCGCUCCUCUUGGCUGCUCUUACUGGGCUCCUCCAGAGGAAAAGACCCACGUUUGCAGCCUGCACUCCGUGUGACUCUCAAUCUCCUGGAAAAAUCAGGCUCUUCACGCUAUGCCCAAUACAUGCUGUACUGUCCUUUGAUGACUUUAUGAGUUCUUUUUGUACUUUUUAAGUAAAAUGUGAGUAUCUUCACCUUGAACAAAUGGCAGCAAAGAUCUUCUGUACAGAUGUCUCUCCUGGCUCCACAAAGCCAUUUCCAUUUUAAUCUGUGUACAAAUCUACUUUUUAAAAUGAUCUGAAUGUUCUUGAACUAGCAAGAAUAGUUCCUCCUUGCUUUGAAGGGUAAUUUGUGGCAAGUAUAGCAUAUUCUGGAAGCUUUUCUUUAUGUAAUCAUGUAGAGCUUAACUUCCACAUUUUUAAAAAGUGGGAUGAUUGAGUUGAAUUCAAAGCUUUUAAGCAAAAGGUCUGACUCCAGACAGACAAGG